GACAGAGGUGGCAAGCGUUGUCCGGAAUUACUGGGCGUAAAGAGCGCGUAGGUGGCUAGAUAAGUCCGGUGUGAAAUCCUUCGGCUUAACCGGGGAAUGGCAUCGGGGACUGUAUAGCUAGAGGACGGAAGAGGAGAGCGGAAUUCCCGGUGUAGCGGUGAAAUGCGUAGAUAUUGGGAGGAACACCGGUGGCGAAGGCGGGUCUCUGGGCAGUAACUGACGCUGAGGAGCGAAAGCGUGGGGAGCGAACAGG
rnacentral:rRNA from 1 species